UCAGAUAGUCAAAGUGCUGAAUUCAUAUACUGACAUUUGACUGUUUUAAACAGGAGCAUGUUAGCUGUGCAUUUCUGUUGCAAUGUUCAGAUGUUCAGUAAUGACUGUGGUCAAUAUAGUUUAUGAGCUCUUCAGGGACCUCGAGUGUUUGAGUGGAUGCAGCCCACGGUGAACUGCUACCAACUACAAGGAAGCCAGUAAUAGGCAGCAGCAUACCUGGAAUGCCAGCAAUAAUCUGUUCUCCAACAAAAACAUCACAGAUUGAAGAGGCGUCUCAUCGCAUCAACAUCUUGCACUCAUGCAGCCAUCUGCCAUUUACAAACUGUAGCACUGCUUGUGCCUUGAGGAAAGCACUCUGUUCCUUCAUUGUGUUGUAAAGCAAUUAAGUUCUCCUGUCAUUUCUGGUUCUCAAACAAAUGUCAUAGAAUCAAUCAAAGUACAGGUGAUUUUCAAACAAGUUGUCGGAUGAAAAGUGUUAGUCUCACAGUCUCACCAAUGAUAAAUACAGAGAGGGUGAGGAAGGUUUUGGGUACUACUCUUCCAUGCACCAUAUCAGACAUUAUGAGACCAUUUACUGGCCUUCAAUAAAAUACUGUUCAGAAAGGGAUGUUUCGGGCCAGUCAGAAUAAACAGAUUGGGUCAGACAGGUCAGACUCAUUAUUAUCAAGGUCAGACAGUCUAAUAGUUUAGAGAGAAGCAAAUGGAAAUUUUGAUCAUACAAGUAUUGAUGUAUGUCACGUAGGGCUGGAUGAUUAAUUAAAUUUCAUUUUGAAUUACGAUUUUCUUUUUCAACAAUUAUGUGAACAAGUUUAUCAUUACUGUGCCACCCUCUGUUUCGCAGUGAUGCUGUCUUAUUUCCUUGUGUUAUAAAUCUAAUGUAUACCUUACCGUUACAACAUUUCCUUUCCCUUUUCUUCCAUUUUUGAUGCUUAUUUAUCCUUGCUGUUACAGCAUUGUUUCUUGGACUAGAAACAGCACUAUCUGUGCCAAAUAAGAUGACAGUAUAACACAUCAUAUGUUAAAUACAUCUAUACAUUUUGUUUAACAUUAUUGUAAUAUAAUUAUGAUGUAUGUAUUCAAGGAAAUCCACUGAUAAUAAAACAAUUUUAAUAAAUGCAAA